rnacentral:rRNA from 1 species
GGAGGGGGCAAGCGUUGUUCGGAAUUACUGGGCGUAAAGGGCGUGUAGGCGGUUUGCUGGGUCAGGCGUGAAAGCCCCGGGCUCAACCUGGGAUGUGCGUUUGAAACUGGCAGGCUAGAGGUUGGAAGAGGAGAGUGGAAUUCCCAGUGUAGAGGUGAAAUUCGUAGAUAUUGGGAAGAACACCGGUGGCGAAGGCGGCUCUCUGGUCCACACCUGACGCUGAGGCGCGAAAGCGUGGGGAGCAAACAGGAUUAGAUACCCUGGUAGUCCACGCUGUAAACGAUGUGUGCUAGACGUUGGAUGUUCAGCAUUCGGUGUCGUCGCUAACGCAUUAAGCACACCGCCUGGGGAGUACGGCCGCAAGGUUA